rfam:Aspergillus calidoustus genome assembly, contig: SCAF12
UAUGAUCAGAUGAUGAAAUAUUUUCGGAUGUAAACUCACAGACCUGUUCUGAAUUGCGCAAACAAUUGUGUGGAAAUUUCCGUUGCCUUCCUUCUGAAUUGAUCAU